rnacentral:lncRNA from 1 species
GUAGCUACGUAUAAAUAAAUCUAAUUACACCUGGACAUAAGCAUGAGAAUAUAUGUGUUGUUUGCAUGCUCAUGUUUUUCCUUGAAAAGCAAUUUAGAAAGCAGAAAAAUAAUAUUAAAGUAAGAGCAUUGAUUCAUCAUGUUUUUCGUCCGACUUCAGUAUGACAUUGUAAAUCAUUCUGUCGAUACCUAUUGACAAAGCAUACCACACGGAUAGAUUAACCAUUGCACUGACUUCACAAAAUAAAAAUGUCGUAUAUGCAACACUUGAAAAGUAAUUUUUUCUGGAUGCAAUUGCUCUUGUUUCUUCAUAGCAUCAAUGUUUGGGUCAAAAUAAGUGGUUGUCUCGUUCCUUCGUACCACCUUCAACAUAAUCAUCUUCAAGGACUUCUCUCAAGAAAACAACUUCUCCAGGGACAUCAAGCAUGACAUCUUCUUCCUGAUCUGAAAGAACAACUUUAUUGACAACAAUUAAAGACUUUGUGGCCAUGAUAUGUAAAUGCCUAUGUUUUGCGCUGAUGAUUUAUUAUGCACUCGUAUAAACUGGAAUCAGCAGCGCCCGAAGAUAAUUUAUGUAUUUACUUCAUUCGGCGUCCAGACAUAUGUGUUUUCGCCGCGUGUGUCCUGACCUAUUUAGUGAGUCAAAACCACAAACAGAUGCAAAUCUUCCUUCAAGAAGAAGAAAAAAUAAAACCAAACCCGGCAUGUGUAUGUGAUUCAGAGAAGGCGACUGAUAGGCGCCGGUCGACCGGCCGAAAGCCUGCGCCGGUCACCUAUCGGCCGUUCGAUUCACCCCAUCCCGCACCGUUGAUUUUCCUUCUUCUCCUUUCUCAGCCUGGUCAACGCAUCCCUUCCCUACACCAGCUAGUCAACGCGCAGCUCUUACAUCGGGGGCUCCUCGUGAGGCACGGCGGCCGCGUUCGUCGGCGUCGAGCCGGUCGCCCUCCGGAAGCACCCACAUUUCUGUAGCUUCUCGCUUGCCACUGUCGGCUGCAACAUAGGGCGUAGUCACCACCGCCCGCCAAUCCAGCAAAAAAUGGUCGGUUCAUCCUCGUCGUCGCCGUCAACGCACCGGCCGUUGAGCAGAUGCAGCAUCACGCGUCGCCGCCGCAUCACAGCUCACAUACCCCCUCUCGUCGGGUUGCAGGAAACCAAGGCGCAGGUCCUAGCAUCCUUGCCGCGCCCGCCGCCUCCGUUGUAGCUCCUGGAGUUGCUGGUGUUGGUAUUGAUCUAGAGGCCCAAUGGGCCAAAACAAAAAUAAAAGACCAGAAAUAAAGUUACGUUGAAGAGAGAAACAGGGAGGCCACGAACCAACGUUCGUACCCCUCGAUCUCAACUUACGCGCCCUAAUAGGGGGCACCCUAACCAACUAUGGUUUUGGUCCCCUGUCGCCAGCGCACAUAAAAAGAUGGGGGAGCAGCCGGCACCUACGUCAGACUAGUUCUCGUACGGUUUACUCCUGCUCCCCACAUCCCUAAACCCUAACCGAUCUGGGGAGCGCUGCACGACAGAAAGAUCAUCUCCAAGCUCUGCCCCUGUCCCAGGGCAGUGCCGGUGGCGCCCGGAGGGACGCCUCUACCUGCAGCGAGCAUCUUCACCGAGCCUGCAUCAAGCCUGCAUCGAGCAGGCACGGGACUUCGCACCGUCGACACCAAUGGCUGCUUCCAUUGGUGGUAAGAACCUAAUCCAUCUCUCUGAUCUGUGCUAUUAGGUGAUCUAACGCCUGGCUUACGAUCUGUUAAGUAUAUCCUACGGGAUGAUAAGUUUAACAAUGGUAUCUUGAGCAUGGUUAAGCCUAGAUUAGAUCCCUAAGAUGAUCUGCUUAAGUUUGAUGAUCCUGAUUACGUACUGAUGAUUAAGGUUUAAGUCUAAUGGUUCAUGAAUAAGGUUAGAUUGCCCUCUGUUGAAGUUGAUGUUUGAUCUCUAGGGUUAUGUGUUUCGGUCAAAGUCUCAUUUGGCUAUGGGUCAGUGCUAAUUAUCCAGUGAUUAUGAUAAAUCAUGUUCUGCUAGUUUGAUUUGCCACGUUUCCGCAUCAAUAUUGUUAAUUAGCACUGGUUUUAGUUCCUGUUAGCAAUUAGAACAUGAUGAAUUGGCUAAGUUAAAGUCAGCCGAACCCUAACUCUAGAAAAUCCCCAAAUUUGAAACCCUAGUUUUCCUUUUGUGAAAUCCUCCAUUGGUGAGUCCAAAUGAUGAAUGAAAUUGGAAGAAGAGAAAAGAUGACGGGCUCACCCAGAUGACGCCGGCCUUCGGGGUCCGCACGGCCGCUGCUGUGCGUGCACGCCAUGGCCAGGACGCCGCCGCCCUUCAGGAUGGCGCGCGGAAUGAAGUAGCAGCCGCCGCUGCUGCGCUCACGCACGCGCGCGUCGCCUGGCCUCUGUGCCUCGGACGUCGCCGCCGCCGGCAAAAUGCCCCACCGCUGCCUCGUCGCGUCACCGGAGCUACGCUCGACGGAGGAGCGCACGGGAGAAAGUCCAUUUGCACGCUGCUCCGGCGAGCGAAGCUACCGCGUCGCCAUGUCCGGCGUGUCUCGCGCCGCCGUGACCUCAUGUGCGAGCGCGUCUCGCCGUCGCCGCCGCAGUCGCUCUCUCUCACGGGAGCGAGUGAUUCGGG